GACCACUUUGGUGGCCUUGUGGUAGAGCAUCCACCUCCGAUGUGGGAGGUCACAGGUUCAAACCCUGGCCAAGUCA